rnacentral:rRNA from 1 species
CACGUAGGGCGCAAGCGUUGUCCGGAAUCAUUGGGCGUAAAGAGCUCGUAGGCGGCUUGUCACGUCUGCUGUGAAAACUCGGGGCUUAACCCCGAGCUUGCAGUGGAUACGGGCAGACUAGAGGUAGGUAGGGGAGAAUGGAAUUCCCGGUGUAGCGGUGAAAUGCGCAGAUAUCGGGAGGAACACCGGUGGCGAAGGCGGUUCUCUGGGCCUUACCUGACGCUGAGGAGCGAAAGCGUGGGGAGCGAACAGG